GACGAACCGAGCGAACGUUGUUCGGAAUCACUGGGCUUAAAGGGCGCGUAGGCGGGCUGCCGCGUCCGGGGUGAAAUGCCACGGCUCAACCGUGGAACGGCCUCGGAUACGGGCGGCCUCGAGGGGGGGUAGGGGCAUCGGGGAACUGUGAGUGGAGCGGUGAAAUGCGUUGAUAUUCACAGGAACUCCGGUGGCGAAGGCGCGGUGCUGGACUCCAUCUGACGCUGAGGCGCGAAAGCCAGGGGGAGCAAAACGGGGAUUAGAUACCCC
rnacentral:rRNA from 1 species